AGGAAAGUGGGAGAGAGAGGAGGUGGUGGGGAAUCUGCUUUACACUAAGGAAAAGACAUUUGGGCAGAAACCUGAAGGUAGCAAGUCAGGGGGUCCUGAGAUCAACAUGUGCUUGACAUAUCUGAGAAACAUCAAGGAAACCAGUGUGACCAAGGUCUGUCUCUCGAGUCGCAUUCCUGCAGCAUGGACUGAUGCCUUACAGACGCUGGAGCACUGCUCUCAUACUGCUAUCUUUCCUUCCUUCGACAUAGUUUGGGAACUGCCUCAUCCUCAAUGCAGUGCAGGGGAUUGAAUCUUUACACUUGCCAGGCAAUUGCCCUACCACUGAGUUACUACGUGCUCUACUAUGCUGUACUGCUUCACUACAGGCCCAAAAGCAACAGGGCCAAUCAAUAAUGG